ACGGGAGGCAGCAGUGAGGAAUAUUGGGCAAUGGAGGCAACUCUGAUCCAGCCAUGCCGCGUGAAGGACUAAGGCCCUAUGGGUCGUAAACUUCUUUUGACGCAGGGCAAUAAGGGCUACGUGUAGUCCGAUGAGAGUAUGCGUCGAAUAAGCAUCGGCUAACUCCGUGCCAGCAGCCGCGGUAAUACGGAGGAUGCAAGCGUUAUCCGGAUUUAUUGGGUUUAAAGGGUGCGCAGGCGGGAUGUCAAGUCAGUGGUGAAAUGGUGCGGCUCAACCGUAGCAUUGCCGUUGAAACUGGCGUCCUUGAGUGCGAAUGAGGUACGCGGAACGUGUCAUGUAGCGGUGAAAUGCAUAGAUAUGACACAGAACACCGAUUGCGAAGGCAGCGUACUGGGACGCGACUGACGCUGAGGCACGAAAGUGCGGGGAUCGAACAGGAUUAGAUACCCUGGUA
rnacentral:rRNA from 1 species